GCUAUGUGUGUUGCAGUUAAGUCAUAGUAGGGGUUCUUUACAAGGCACGAUUCUCAUUUCAGAUGUCUCUUUCAUUUGAGAAUAUCUCUCUAUCUUCUCACACAGGAUUACUUUAUCAGGUCCUGCUGUCACCCAAAGGCUCAUCCCUGCAGAGCUCAGGGGUCUGGCUUCAUGACUCGGCUUUAAACGGACGCUCAGCUUUCCUAGGAAUAGCUAGCACUGCUUGGAAGUGAUUUAUGGAAACACUGCUGCAUCACCUCUGAUCUACCUAUGCUGCACUCAAGCAACAUAAUCUAAACUAGGUGUACCUGGUGAUGCCAUUUUUUAAAAUGAAAAAUGUUCAAAAAUCACACCGAAGGCUGUAACAAUAAAAGACAGUUACCAG
ensembl:lncRNA